AACCCAUGUUGAGGACAUUUUCCGCAAGAGCUCCAUGAACCUAUCCCAUAUCUCAAAAAGAGACUCCAAUUCCAUUUGAACAAAUGAAGAUAUUUCAUUCCUAAGCUU